AACGACUCACAUUGGCGUUGGAACGAUCCCACUUUUGAUUACUAUGCUCCCGAUUUGAAUAAGCAUCCUAGUUUUAGAUGGGUAGGUACUCAACAGCCUUUUGAGCAACGUAAUGUGCCACAAAAUUCAGAGUAUGGUUCGACUACUAAUACAUUAGAAUGUGUGAAGAGUUAUGAUAACAAGUUGGACGAUGAAAUUAAAGAACCACCUUCCAGUGACCCAUUCCUAAUGGAGGAAACAAACCCUGAUGAUUCUGAAAUUUCUCAAGAAUCAUUUCCCCUACUCAAGUCCAUACACCACACAUACCAUAUCAAGAUGGUGCAAAGCAAUCAACUAAGUUGCAAGUGUGCUUUGAAAUUGACAAAUUUGAUGUGAAUGUUCACACCAAUUUAGAAUUUGGAAAAUCACAUGACAAUGCACAUGCACAUCCAAUCAAACUUGAGGAAAUCCAGAAAGACUCCUACAAG
rnacentral:lncRNA from 1 species